rnacentral:rRNA from 2 species
AAAUUGAAGAGUUUGAUCAUGGCUCAGAUUGAACGCUGGCGGCAGGCCUAACACAUGCAAGUCGAACGGUAACAGGAAGCAGCUUGCUGUUUCGCUGACGAGUGGCGGACGGGUGAGUAAUGUCUGGGAAACUGCCUGAUGGAGGGGGAUAACUACUGGAAACGGUAGCUAAUACCGCAUAACGUCGCAAGACCAAAGAGGGGGA